UGCUUUGAGAGAAGUUUUGCAAGAUAUUCUGAACCCAUUUUAUUGGCUAAAUGCCCAUAAUCAGGACUGGUUGCAAAAUACUCGCGCUCCUUGCGCCUUGCAACAAUCAUAUCGACAUUUUUGUUAAUAUCUGCUUGUGAGCGGUUAACAAUCCCAACCCAAGGAUACUGCAGCCGGUAAGAUCUUCCUUCAAGAACAUCUAAUGCAUUAGUUCCUUUGUCCAUCAAAUCCAACUUUGUUAGGACACCAAAUGUCCGUUCGCCUAAGGGAUCCACUUCCCUGGAAAGUUUGAUAGCAUCGGAUGUUGCUAUAUCUUGAUUGGCUGGAGAUAUUGCAAGUAUGAUACAAUUUGGCUUCUCAACAUAAGAACGGACCAUGGUCUCAAUGUCUUGAACAACACUCUCAGGCUGUCCCUCAACAGCGACUUUUGUUAAGCCAGGUAAAUCAAUCAGGGUUAAGUUGACAACAUUCGGAGAAUAGAUGCUGAGAUGAAUAGGAACAGGCGAAAUUUGUUUAGUUUUUCCUGUCAUUCUAUCAGUUUCAUCCUGAAUCUCCUUGCGAACCAGGGAAAAAUCAGUGAAACGUCUCUUAGGAAGAUGAAGAAACUCAGCAUACUCCUGUGAUCCGUCCUCAGUCUUAUGAAGCUGCAAGACCAAAGGUCUCCUUGUAACAAUCCCUGAUCCUCUAGGAAGAAAGUCUCGGCCUACUAUGCUCUCCAAGACCGAAGAUUUUCCCGAACUCUGUCCACCAACGACAGCAACAGAGGGAAGAGCUUCCCAGAGAGAAGAGAAAGCAUUAUCCCCACCUCCAUAGUCUCCAAGCACGGUACAAGCUCUCUGAAUCCGAUUAACCAAGCCAAUCAAGCUCUCCAUGGUCGUCAUGUUCAACAAAAAAAAUCUAAGAUUGGUUAGACUUUUCAAACAACUUCGGAAACCCUCGAAAGAUAGAGAAUUAAAAUUGCAGAAAGAGCAGCCGAGCAGAAGAAGAAGAAUGCACGGCUUGACUUGAAAUGGACGCCCCAAAUUUUGAAAGAACGUUAGGAAAUUUCGAAAGCUUUGGGUAUGGGCCUCG
rnacentral:misc_RNA from 1 species